CUCUCAUUUUCUAAAAUCAAGUGUAGUAUCUGUUCUUAUUAAUUUAAUAUGUGAUAUGUGAGCCAUCGGUCUAUUAUGACAUUAAAUAUACUUUUUACUGGGAGAGGGUUCACCACAGUAGUUUGCUAUUGGAACCCUUAUGUGUGUUGCCCUUGCGUUACACCAUAGUAUAGGUUUGAUGCAUCUAAC